UAUUAUACUAAAAUUUAAUAAAAACUAAAAUAUUAUAAGAUAUAGUCUUUAAAUUUAAAGAAUUUGGCGGUGAUUUAGUCUUUUCAGAGGAACCUGUUCUGUAAUCGAUAGACCACGAAGAAUCUUACUUAUUUCUCUUUAGAUUAAGAAGUUUGUAUACCGUCAUUAUCAGAUAAUAUUUAGAGAUAUAUUUAUUAUUAAAAAAAUUUUUAAUAAAUUAGAUCAAGGUGCAGCUUAUGAAUAAGUUAGAAUGGGUUACAAUUAAGUUUAUAUAAAAAUGAAAUAAAAUUUGAAAGAAUUUUAGGAAGGAGGAUUUGAUUGUAAUGGGAAUUAAUAAGAUAAAAAGAUAUAAGCUCUAAAUUAC
rnacentral:rRNA from 1 species